CUACGGGGCGCUCCAGUGAGGAAUAUUGCACAAUGGGGGGAACCCUGAUGCAGCAACGUCGCGUGGAGGAUGACGCAUUUCGGUGUGUCAACUCCUUUUAUAUGUCAAGAAAAUGACGGUAGCAUAUGAAUAAGCACCGGCUAACUCCGUGCCAGCAGCCGCGGUAAUACGGAGGGUGCAAGCGUUACUCGGAAUCACUGGGCGUAAAGGACGCGUAGGCGGGUUGGAAAGUCAGGUGUGAAAUCCUACAGCUUAACUGUAGAACUGCACUUGAAACUUCUAAUCUAGAGUAUGGGAGGGGGAGAUGGAAUUAGUGGUGUAGGGGUAAAAUCCGUAGAUAUCACUAGGAAUACCUAAAGCGAAGGCGAUCUCCUGGAACAUUACUGACGCUAAGGCGUGAAAGCGUGGGGAGCAAACAGGAUUAGAUACCCUAGUAGUC
rnacentral:rRNA from 1 species